CCUCUUCAUUCACACGACACAUACACACACUUCUCUUGUUUUCCAUUUCAACUUCAUCUCUAAUAUCAAGCUUCAUUCGUUCCAUUGUCUAGAAGAAAAUCUUGCGACGGAUUAACGACGGAAGAACAUGGCUGAGUAGUGGUGAUCGACGUCCUUCUUCCUAUGUUUUCCUCCUCGGUAGUGACCAACAACGGCAUCGUACUUCGUUCCUUAUAGUAGUAGGUUGACAAAGCUCCAGCGACUUCCCUUCUUGCUUGUCGACGUUCUGGCAACGGCCUUCGUCUCUCUCCUCCUCUACUAGAUGUGCGUAGCAGGUUGCCUCGACAGGCUUGAUAUAAAUCCUAUUUUGUAAAUAUAUUACAUAUACCCUAUAUUAUGUUGGAAACUAUAUUUACAUAGCCUACGGACAAAGGAAAUAAUGUUGAAAACCUAUUUUAAAAGAUUAUUAUACAAUCAUAAAGUUAUUAUA